AGGGUAAUAGUUAAAAAAUAACAUUUAAUUUGCAUUUAAAAAAUAUUGAUCCUAAUCAAUUUACCUUA
rnacentral:tRNA from 1 species